UGGUUUUGGCUGAUUUGGUGAGCCUUUC
rnacentral:piRNA from 1 species